rnacentral:rRNA from 1 species
UACGUAGGUGGCAAGCGAUACUCGGAAUCACUAGGCGUAAAGCGCAGGUAGGCGGUUGGAUAAGUUUUUUUGUGAAAGCUCCCGGCUUAACUGGGAGAGGCCAAGAAAUACUGUCUGACUCGAGUGUGGUAGGGGAAACUGGAAUUCCUGGUGUAGCGGUGAAAUGCGUAGAUAUCAGGAGGAAUACCUAUGGCGAAAGCAAGUUUCUGGGCCAUCACUGACGCUGAGCUGCGAAAGCUAGGGGAGCAAACAGG